rnacentral:tRNA from 1 species
UGGGGUGUGGCUCAGUGGUAGAGGGCUUGCCUAGCAUGUGUGAGGCACUGGGUUCGAUUCUCAGCAUCACAU